GAGCAGCUUCGUCGGUCAGGCAUUCUCUCGCCGUAGAAACCGGCGUCGGCAUCGCCGGAGAAAGAAAGUCAAAAUAAAAAGUGCUUGGAUAUGCACAGAGAGACUUUUACACACACACACAGCAGCAGCAGCAAGGAGGAGGAGUCGUUGUUUUGGUGGUAUCUUGCUCUCUCGUAAGAGGACCCCUCCAUUAUUUGGUCUGAGUUUUUAUAUAUAUAUUUUUCGUUUUUCUUUUUAUUUUUUUUCUAAUAACACGACUGAGUAGGAUGGUGAAAUUUCAACGAAUAUAUGUGGUGCUCGCAGCAUCUCUCGCA